ACAAAGCGGUAUAGUGAGCACAGAAGAGGCCCUCUUCAGAAGGACGUUUUUCACUUUUGAAAAGUACAAUGCAAAUGGACACCUUUGUUCCCCUUCCCUCUGUCACCUGUCUCCACCCCUCUGCAUGAGAUACCUGGACUCUCUAAGGACCAGCAGCGCAGUCACAGCUCUGGAGGGACAGAAGGCCCCGAGCGGCUGAGCAAGGCACCCAGUGCAGACAGGCUGAGGCCGGGGAGUUUAGCCUGGGAUAAAGGAAGCAGAGAAGACAGUGAAAAAAUCAGAGAAAGAUCAUGACACGAGUUUGGAAAGAAGUGGAGGCAAGAAGGCCUGUCAUUUGCAAUGACACAGAAGGGCCAAAUCAAACCCUGUGAAGAAAGCAAAAGUGAGAUGGAUUUACCCAAGAUCAUUUCCCUGGAUACCUCCAGCUCCGUUAGAUCCAAAUUUCCAGUGAUGACUCUGAAGCAUCAGAUCAUGUAAUCUGAAAUACAAGGGUAUAUAGCACAAAUAAUGAAAUAUUUUAACAAUAAAAACACCAAGUGAAUUAAA